rnacentral:rRNA from 1 species
UACGUAGGGUGCAAGCGUUAAUCGGAGUUACUGGGCGUAAAGCGUGCGCAGGCGGUUUUGUAAGUCUGACGUGAAAUCCCCGGGCUCAACCUGGGAAUUGCGUUGGAGACUGCAAGGCUAGAAUCUGGCAGAGGGGGGUAGAAUUCCACGUGUAGCAGUGAAAUGCGUAGAGAUGUGGAGGAACACCGAUGGCGAAGGCAGCCCCCUGGGUCAAGAUUGACGCUCAUGCACGAAAGCGUGGGGAGCAAACAGG